GGACGCGGGAGAUGACACAGGGAACGGCUCUCUCUGAGCCCCAGUUGCCCCCUCUGUUAAACGGGAUGAGAAUGCUCAAACCCCAGGAUCGCUGGGAGCGUUCAGUGACAACACGUGAGUAAGCCCAUGGCCCUGUGGUUACUGCGGGACCGUGAGUGUCUGCAUGAAUUCCGGCCACUUGUUAUUGUUUUCAACUUUGUCGUUAGGGGAUAGAGGAGGAAAAGAGAGAAAAAAGACCCUGAUGACAGCCCGUUGUACUUUCUGGGUGUUAUGAUCACUACCCACUUGUAUCAGUGUCAUUGUCACUAUCCCGGUGCCUAGCCUGGUGCGGGGCACACUGUUACUCCAGGAAAGCAGAGUGAUUGCUGGAUCUGUCUCUGCCUGUGCAGCUCUUCAUGCUGCUGGCCGAGCUCCUAUCAGGCGUCUGAAGGAGGCAGCUUCUGAGGAUCUGUGUCUCCAUGACUGCUGAACCAUCUGCUCCAGAUUCAAGGGCAGCCAUCCUCAGGAGACCACGACACUUCACAUCCCUGCUUGGAUAUGAGGCCUGGUCCGAUGGGCCGUCAGAGGAGGGUGUGGACUCUGAGCCUCAGAAGCAGGAGCUGACAGAGAAGAACCAAGUGUGCUGGCGCGUGUGCAGACAGGUUCCUGGAGCAAGAGUGAGGAGAUCAGGGUCCCAUCACUGGGACACUUUAGGUAAGUCGCUCCUCUUCCACCAGUCCUGUCUAUACAGCAGGAUGACGGUACCCAUUGCUGCCGGCCACCCAGGAAUCCUCUGGAGUUUGAGUGUGAUCCCAUGUGGGAAAGCAAUCUGUGCUCGUAGGUGGGAGGAAGGACCAGUGCACUUUCAAGGAAUUACAUUAACAGAGACACCCCAGAUAUCACGGAACUCUGCAUGGCAGACAUCAAAUUAA
rnacentral:lncRNA from 1 species